CGGGAGGGCGGGGUCGCCGGAAGCCACACCCUUCUGGAAAAAAAAAUUGGUCUGGUGACUAGCAAGGACCACUACGGGGAGAAAAGGAUUCCAGGUCAUUCACACGCGCUGUCACCAGCCGGAACAGGAUGAUCUCUUUCUAGGUAUUGGUAUUCUAAUUAUCUAAGAGAAUCCUCUUAUUCAAGGAGAUCUCUCUCCGCCUGGUGCCGAGAUUCCUUCACGGCCACAUGUUUGAGCUGACAGAUGAUCCUUUCCACUCGGGAAAAUCCACACGUGCUAUCUGCCUUGGAUACAGCUGCC